rnacentral:rRNA from 1 species
GAUCCUGGCUCAGGACGAACGCUGGAGGCGUGCUUAACACAUGCAAGUCGAACGAGAGGACAAGAGAAGCUUGCUUCUUUUGGAAUCGAGUGGCAAACGGGUGAGUAACACGUAAACAACCUGCCUUCAGGAUGGGGACAACAGACGGAAACGACUGCUAAUACCGAAUACGCUUGGGAGACCGCAUGAUCUACCAAGGAAAGGGUGGCCUCUACCUGUAAGCUAUCGCCUGAAGAGGGGUUUGCGU